GCCUUCGUGGUGUAGUGGUCAGCACGCUCGGUGCGUAUCGAGAGGUCCGUGGUUCGAGUCCCACCGAGGGCA
rfam:Stegodyphus mimosarum contig44561, whole genome shotgun sequence.